CUCGGAAUGAAGCUGCCUCAGCAGUGCGUUGAACUCUUGGAGAAUAUUACACCAAUAUGUGUUUUUGCACGAGCCAGAUCUCAUGGCAUAUCGAGCAAAGGCUGAAAUUGCUGAUUGUGGUAAAGACGAACAGCAGUUGUUUUGCUUCACGGAGCCAGAGCAGCAUGCGUUCAGCAACAGAACAUUUCACUCUCUCAGAAAUGCUGCCGUUAUGGGGCCGUGUGUUCCUGGAAAGCUGCCAGCGCACUGUGCAAAAUCCAAGUCAGACUCAGAACUGUUGGAUUUUCUUAUAUUUUGUAUGUCAAGAUAACUUUGGACCAGAGAAUGAAGGAAAGGAGAAGAAAUCUGUUCCAGUAAUUUAUGUGACAGUAAAUGAGAAUGGCAAUCUAA